AGAAUAUUACUCAGAUUUCUUUUUCACUGAUUCACUGAUUUCUUUUUCCCUCAAUACUUAAAUUGUUGCUUUGCUCUUCAUUUUUCUUGAAGUUUCCAUGUUCGACAUAUGGAUAUCUCUGAGUAUCCUCCAUGUACCUGAAAAAACUUAGAAAAAUUUGACCAUACCUAUGUCAAACGCAUACCUAUAUCUAACAUACACCCUAGUCCAAGUAACAUAAAUUUAGUAUGUAAGCAGAUAUUUUUGGCAGUUUGAGUUUUUCUCAGACAGGUUACUUUAAACUCCUUGGUAAUAGUCACGUUAAACUCAUAAUUUGUUUGCUAGAUUCUUCUCUGUGGCCAAUGAGGUCCAAUUUGAAGUCAAAAUUUAUAAUUGACUAUCAAUUAAAGGGUAUCUGUCAAAAUGAUAGAAAAUAAAGAUGGUGGCAGCACUUCUUGGGAUCCAACUAUUACAUUUAUAUUUAUGUUUGAUUGCCAAUUGGGAAAGAUUACAUGCUUAUAAAGAAUGUAAGACUAUACUAUUUUGAUUGUUGAUACAAAGGGUAUAAUAUAUAUACCCGUCUAGUCUGAUCCAAACCUAAAAUUUGACUUAAUCAACCGGAAACCAAUCCCGACCCAAUGUAUUGUGACCAUAAAAAGUCAAUAACAUGAAUUUGUCUAACCUUAACAUGAAUUGAUCGAACCCAAGUUGAUCUGAGCAUGAAACAAUCCAAACCGAAACACCCGAACUUGAAAGUACUCAAACUAGUAAUCUUGAAAUGACUUGAUCCCAAAGUGAUUAGAAUCCAAAAUGAUCUGAAUUUAUAAUGACCCGACUUGAAAAAUCCGAGCCUCAAACCCAAGACCACUUGUAUCCAAAAUUGACCCAAACUUGGAAUUAAUUCAAACCAAAAUGAUCUGAAAUUUUUAAAAUCCAAAUUGAGUAGAUCUGAAAUCAAUUUGACUCACACAAUGGACUGGUCUAGUACAAUAUUUUAACUAGAAAAACUAUUUAUAUCUUCUACUUCUGUUUUCAGUUAUAUUAUUUAUAGUGGUAGAAAUAACUUUUUGGAAGUUCUUGGAAUUUCCCUUAUAGAGUAUUAUAAACUUCUAGUUCAUCGGAAGCCUCUCUGUAUUCAGACACUAGCUUAGCAGUGGAUCAUGUUAUGGUGCUUAUAUGGGUGGGAAUGACAUUAGAGAUCCCUUUGAUCUAAAAAUAUUUUUUCAGCAGGUUUCACUUUUGGAAUGAGUUUUUGCUCAAACAAAUCCAAAUUGUUUGCAUGAAUGGCAUUGACAAAUAUAGCUGGCGAUUGAAAAUGUUCCUGACUAUUCUUCUCUUGUUCGGUUUGGCCAUCCUUGCGGACUCUUACUCUUUGUUACUUGGACUCAUAUGAGUAGCAGAUACGGGAAUAUUCAAUUUUUUGUAGUUCUUUCAUGCAUUUAGAAAGUCUUCGGAGGAUCAUAUCUUCAUUAAAAAAACACUUUCAAAAGAAAUGGAUUUAUGUAUGCUGCACACCGAUACAUACCCGAUUUUCGCAUCCGAGUCUGAGUAACAUAGGUGCUUGAUAUCAUUUUUUUUUUCUGAUGUGCAGUUGCAGCAAGUGCUGCUUCUACUGGAAUUGAUUUGUUUCCGUAAUUGGAAAUAUGAAAAUACGAACCAACAAGUAUAACUUAAAGUAAAUGCUCAAUUCUGAAUUUUGAAUGACAUAGUUGUAAUACCUUUCUGUGUUGGCAGCUUGUUAAAGACUAUCAAGCAUGGGCUUCUGGUGAUACCUCAAGGCAACCUCUUGGAACCGGGGAGAUAUGAAAUCACGCAAGAUAAGAUUUCUUCGAACUCUCUUUGAAAUUGUCGUCUUGUUCAAUUUUGGCAGCAUAAUAUGUUUUGACUGUAAUAUUUAGGCAGUUUAGUGUUCCUCAGCACUGAGGUGCAACAAAUUAAGAAAAUUCAUUAUAUUCAUCCAAUGUCAGUCAUGCAGACUCUAGGAUCAGUAUAUUCCUCCUAUUCUGAUAUGAAAUUCUGGCAACUGUUUUCAGUUUUUUUAUUUGGAUUUUAAGUUGGAUUAAACAAAAUGAUAGAUGGUCUUGUUAUGUCAAACCUGACGAUUUAGGACAUGAUAUGAGGAUAAUUGUUGCAGAUUGUGAGAUUGCCUGGUAUCUCUCUCAUUCACACGAUUAUGAGAAUGCAAUUAUGCUCUUCACACAUAAUUGUUGCAGAUUGCAUGAUCAAGGAUAUGAUGCAGAUGAGGGUGAAGAGGAAAGCUAAAUAGAAUUAACUAAAACUCAUUUUGCACGGGCAAUAAUAUCAAUGUCAUUCGAACUAAGACUCAAUCGGUAGAAUAAAAAAACAUUAAACACAACAAUUAAUAGUAAUAUAUUGAUUGAUUAAAAAAAUUAGAUAGGGAGAAAUUAAAUUAAUACAUUGAAUGAAUUUAAAUUAAAAGUAAUGACAAAUUUAUUGUAUCAAACAUUUUCUACCUUUAUUUUUUUUAAUUUAAAAUGUAAAGUAUUUCAAAAUAGAUUUUCUAAUAAAAUCUUACUUUAUUUUUGUGGAUUAUAACUUUAGAUUCUUAUAUCUAUUAUUGAAAUCAAUUUGCUUUUGUGGAUAAUUGAUUAGGAUUUGAAUAUUUGAUUUUAUUAUUUGUUUUACUUUUAAAUAUUUAAUUUAAUUUUUUAUUUUAUUAAAUUAAAAUAAUAAUGUUCAAAUUUAAUAAAAAUAAUAAACAAAUUUAUGAAUAUAAAUCCAAAUAUUAGAAAUAAUGAUAUGUUUUCAACCCAACAAGGAAUUAAAGAAUUAUUCUCGAUCAAAUAAUAAAUUAGAGAUAAUAAUGUGUUUUUGACUCAAUAGAGAAUUAAAGAACUCUCAUCGACCCAACAAUGAAUAUGAGAGUCAAAUAAAGUAUGCCCAAUACUAAAACAUCAUCUGAUAUAUCUAAUCUUAUGACAUACUAAUUAUAUCUGAAACUCUAUCCGACAUCGUUUAAUAGUAUAUUUCUAUUAUUAAAUAUCAUUAAAGCAUAUUUUAAUACAACUUUCACCAUAAUAUCCAAUCACAACUCAUAUUCAGUUGUGAAAUCAUCAAACAUAAAUUCAUAUUCAUAUAGCAUGAUCACAUAAUUCAACUCAUCAUGAAAUCAAUAUAUCUUACCACAUAUUAUAGUGAAAUUCACAUAUACUUACUUUAUGAUUUAGGUUCUUUUUUUCUCAAAAUUGAUCCAAACAAAUUAAAUAAUUACAAAAAUAACUUUGGGAGCAACAUCAUACACGAAAAUUAAUGCAAUUAAGCUUAGAAAAUCUGAAAAAAGAAAGCAUUAAUUUUUUUUCAAUACACCACUUAAACGUAAAUAAAUUGCAUUAAUUACGUUAAUUAUUACUUUUUUUGAAUCCUGAAAUUUGUUUUUAUCUGUCCCUCCCCUUCUCUCAUUUUUCAUUUUCGUGUCAGAAAAGAAUUUACCAGGAAAAGUUUUCAAUAAUCCUCUCCCUCUCUUGCCUAGAAAAUCUGGAACGAAAAAGCAUUAAUUUCUUUCAAUACUCUUGCAAAUAAUUUUUCCAAGUAUAUAUUUCUUUUCCAUUUUGUUUUCUUUUGCUCCUUUUUACUACAUCCUACUAUUCAGUUUUUAGCUUGGAUUUUUUACUUGUGAUUUUGGUUUUUAUAGUGUUUUUUUUUCUCUUUCACUAUAUUUAAGAAUUGCUUGCUUUUUAUAACUAUAAAAAAUAAUUGUUUUUAAAAACGGUCACCAGUGUCGUCUGACACCCUAGCAACACAAAAAAUAAAUAAAGCAAAUCUUCAAAACCUGACAACAGUGUUGCCUGAUACCGCGGUGGGAUCAAAUUUUUAAAAAAAAUUGGUGCCGCCUAACACAGAGAUGACACCAAAAUAAAAAAAAAUUCCACCGUGAAUACCUGUGAGAAAUACAAGUAUUUUGAAAAAUACAUAUAGUGGCAACACCCAAAUUUUUUAUUUAUAAAAACCAAUGAUUGACUAAUGAUGAAGAGUGAUGCCGCCGAUGUAUCUGGUGGCAUCGACAAGCACUAUAGAUUUCAUGUCAUUCCUGUACAUGAUUUUGCUCCUAAGUCAUUUUUAUAAUUAUUUAAUUUGUUAGGUUAAUUUUGAUAAUUAUUUAAUUUGUUAGGUUAAUUUUGAAAAAAAGCUGAUAACUUACCUUUCAUGUUCAUAACCAACAACGCAUAAGCUCAUGUUCAUGUCACCAUUUACCUCUAAUACAUAUACAUAUACAUAUAAACUCAAUUACUUGAUAAACCAUGUAAUGAAAAUGAAUUAUGUAAGUACAAAUCGAAGUUGUUAGUCGUUGAUCACUUUCGUCUUUCCUUUCUCCUUCAAAAUCUCAGUGUCAUCUUUAAUUAUAUACAAUAAUAUGUUUACGAAAACAUUGUUAGUUUUGUAGUCAAACAUAAAAGCCAUCAAAAUCAAAACAUGAAUGAAUAUUUUUUUACUUAUGCCCCUUAAAACUCUAAUAUCCAAAAUUCCCAUAUUUUAUCACUCUCUCAUUCGAUUUUAAAUCCAACUUUAUAACUAUGCUUUAGGGACCUCAAACUAUCUAUAAACACUAUUUUUCUUCAAACUUGUCAUCAUAUUUGUCUCUAUCUUUAAGCACCCAUCCAUGGUUUCUCGAUCAAUUCAUGACAAAUUUCAAUUCUAACACAUGGUCACUUAUAUCAACUUACUUAAAGCUAAGGAUUCAAAAAAAAAAAAAAAUCAAAGGAAAGUAUCUCUUUACCUUAUGGUUUGAUGCACCACAAUGGGAGAGAAUCUUAAGGAUUUUUUCUUCCUUUUUUUUCUUUCAUUGUACAGUGGAGAAAGGAUGAAGAUGAACCUUGCUUCAUCC
rnacentral:lncRNA from 1 species